rnacentral:tRNA from 1 species
CGAGACGUAGCGCAGGAGCAGCGCACGUGCUGAUACGCACGCGGAUCUGGUGCAACUCCAGACGUCUCGACCA